rnacentral:tRNA from 1 species
GAGGAUAUUCCUCAGUUGUGGAGCACAUGCUUAGCAUGCAUGAUGUCCUGGGUUCAAUCCCCAGUACCUACA